GAUGAACGCUGGCGGCGUGCCUAAUACAUGCAAGUCGAGCGAACAGACGAGGAGCUUGCUCCUCUGACGUUAGCGGCGGACGGGUGAGUAACACGUGGAUAACCUACCUAUAAGACUGGGAUAACUUCGGGAAACCGGAGCUAAUACCGGAUAAUAUAUUGAACCGCAUGGUUCAAUAGUGAAAGACGGUUUUGCUGUCACUUAUAGAUGGAUCCGCGCCGCAUUAGCUAGUUGGUAAGGUAACGGCUUACCAAGGCAACGAUGCGUAGCCGACCUGAGAGAGUGAUCGGCCACACUGUAACUUAGCCACGGUCCAGACUCCUACGGUAGGCCGCUGUAGGCAAUCUUCCGCAAUGGGCGAAAGCCUGACGUAGCAGCGCCGCGUUAGUGAUGAAGGUCUUCGGAUCGUAAAACUCUGUUAUUAGGGAAGAACAAAUGUGUAAGUAACUAUGCACGUCUUGACGGUACCUAAUCAGAAAGCCACUGCUAACUACGUG
rnacentral:rRNA from 1 species